GACGAACGCUGGCGGCGUGCUUAACACAUGCAAGUCGAGCGGUAAGGCCCUUUCGGGGGUACACGAGCGGCGAACGGGUGAGUAACACGUGGGUGACCUGCCCUCAGCUCUGGGAUAAGCCUGGGAAACCGGGUCUAAUACCGGAUAUGACUCCAUGACGCAUGUUGUGGGGUGGAAAGCCUUGUGCGGCUGAGGAUGGGCCCGCGGCCUAUCAGCUUGUUGGUGGGGUGAUGGCCUACCAAGGCGACGACGGGUAGCCGGCCCGAGAGGGCGACCGGCCACACUGGGACUGAGACACGGCCCAGACUCCUACGGGAGGCAGCAGUGGGGAAUCUUGCGCAAUGGGCGAAAGCCUGACGCAGCGACGCCGCGUGAGGGAUGACGGCCUCGG
rnacentral:rRNA from 1 species